rnacentral:rRNA from 1 species
UAAGUAUUCCACCUGGGAAGUACAAUCGCAAGGUUGAAACUCAAAGGAAUUGACGGGGGCCCGCACAAGCAGUGGAGCAUGUGGUUUAAUUCGACGCAACGCGAAGAACCUUACCUAGGCUUGAAGCGCAAGCUAAACCUGAUGAAAGUCGGGGUGCCGCAAGGCGAGCUUGUACAGGUGCUGCAUGGCUGUCGUCAGCUCGUGCCGUGAGGUGUUGGGUUAAGUCCCGCAACGAGCGCAACCCUCGUUUUUAGUUGCCACCAGGUAAUGCUGAGCACUCUAAAAAGACUGCCUACGCAAGUAGUGAGGAAGGUGGGGAUGACGUCAAGUCCGCAUGGCCCUUACGCCUAGGGCCACACACGCGCUACAAUGGCCAUUACAAAGGGCUGCAAUACCGCGAGGUGGAGCCAAUCCCUAAAAAAUGGUCUCAGUUCGGAUUGGAGUCUGCAACUCGACUCCAUGAAGCUGGAAUUGCUAGUAAUCGCGCAUCAGCACGGCGCGGUGAAUACGUUCCCGGGCC